UUGGAUUAUAUCAUCUUGGAUUGGUGU
rnacentral:sRNA from 1 species